UUGGAGGGCAAGUCUGGUGCCAGCAGCCGCGGUAAUUCCAGCUCCAAUAGCGUAUAUUAAAGUUGUUGCAGUUAAAAAGCUCGUAGUUGAAUUUCGGGGUUCUACCGUUGGUCGGGCAAUAGUCUGUACUGGCGUGUGGAAUUUCUACCUUCUGGGGAACUAUCAUGUUAUUAAUUUAGCGUGGUGGGAAACCAGGACCUUUACCUUGAAAAAAUUAGAGUGUUCAAAGCAGGCUUACGUCUGAAUACAUUAGCAUGGAAUAAUAAAAUAGGACGGUGGUCCUGUUUUGUUGGUUUCUGAAUCACCGUAAUGAUUAAUAGGGAUAGUUGGGGGCAUUAGUAUUCAAUUGUCAGAGGUGAAAUUCUUGGAUUUAUUGAAGACUAACUUCUGCGAAAGCAUUUGCCAAGGAUGUUUUCAUUAAUCAAGAACGAAAGUUAGGGGAUCGAAGACGAUCAGAUACCGUCGUAGUCUUAACCAUAAACUAUGCCGACUAGGGAUCGGACGAUGUUAAUUUUUCUUGACUCGUUCGGCGCCUUACGGGAAAC
rnacentral:rRNA from 1 species